AUUGAACGCUGGCGGAAUGCCUUACACAUGCAAGUCGAACGGCAGCACGGACUUCGGUCUGGUGGCGAGUGGCGAACGGGUGAGUAAUGUAUCGGAACGUGCCCAGUCGUGGGGGAUAACGUAGUGAAAAUUACGCUAAUACCGCAUACGACCUAUGGAUGAAAGCGGGGGAUCGCAAGACCUCGCGCGAUUGGAGCGGCCGAUAUCAGAUUAGGUAGUUGGUGGGGUAAAGGCCCACCAAGCCAACGAUCUGUAGCUGGUCUGAGAGGACGACCAGCCACAAUGGAACUGAGAAACGGUCCAGACACCUACGGGAGGCAGCAGUGGGUAAUUUUGGACAAUGGGCGAAAGCCUGAUCCAGCCAUUCCGCGUGCAGGAUGAAGGCCCUCGGGUUGUAAACUGCUUUUGUACAGAACGAAAAGGUUUCUACUAAUACUAGGAGCUCAUGACGGUACUGUAAGAAUAAGCACCGGCUAACUACGUGCCAGCAGCCGCCGUAA
rnacentral:rRNA from 1 species